CCACUGGACGAGGAGGAUCUCGUCUCCUACAUCCUCGUCGGCCUCAACUUCGACUACAACUCGGUUGUCUCCUCCGUUGCUGGGCGUGCAGAUUCAAUCUCAGUCAGCGAGCUAUAUGCUUUGCUCGUUGGCUUUGAGA
rfam:Oryza sativa (indica cultivar-group) chromosome 1, whole genome shotgun sequence.